rnacentral:rRNA from 1 species
AUUGAACGCUGGCGGCAGGCCUAACACAUGCAAGUCGAGCGAGCGGCGGACGGGUGAGUAUUGUCUGGGAAACUGCCGGCUGGAGGGGGAUAACAAUUGGAAACGGAGGCUAUAACCCCAUACCAUAAGAGGUGCCCAGGUGGGAUUAGCUAGUGGGUGGGGUAACGGCUCACCUAGGCGACGAUCCCUAGCUGGUCUGAGAGGAUGACCAGCCACACUGGAACUGAGACACGGUCCAGACUCCUACGGGAGGCAGCAGUGGGGAAUAUUGCACAAUGGGCGCAAGCCUGAUGCAGCCAUGCCGCGUGUGUGAAGAAGGCCUUCGGGUUGUAAAGCACUUUCAGCGGGGAGGCGUUACCCGCAGAAGAAGCACCGGCUAACUCCGUGCCAGCAGCCGCGGUAAUUC